rnacentral:lncRNA from 1 species
AAACUUUAUUUUAAUUUAAUUUCCACACUUAUAAACAUUUCAUAAAAGCCAUAAUACAUAGCAAAAGUAAAUCACACACUAGCACACCAUGCAAACAGAAUUUAAAUUAAUACUUGAAAACAUAUAUAUAGAUUGUUUCUUUGGCUUCUUAUUACACACCAUCUUAAUCGUUGUCCCGUUGGUUAUCGGAAAUCAUGUUAAUUAAUUAGGGCAUGCGACGAGUACGCGGAGGGUUAACGAAUUUAGGUUUCCCUUCUUCUGGAAACAAACGGUGCGAAUCUGCUUCUGAACUAUCCUCGUUCUCGUUCGAAUCAUCGUCAUUAUUGUCAACGAUUUUUUCAG